UCGUGAGAUGUUGGGUUAAGUCCCGCAACGAGCGCAACCCUCGUCUUUAGUUGCCAUCAUUCAGUUGGGCACUCUAAAGAAACUGCCGGUGAUAAGCCGGAGGAAGGUGGGGAUGACGUCAAGUCCUCAUGGCCCUUACGCGCUGGGCUACACACGUGCUACAAUGGCGGUGACAGUGGGCUGCAAACUCGCGAGGGUGAGCAAAUCCCCAAAAGCCGUCUCAGUUCGGAUUGUUCUCUGCAACUCGAGAGCA
rnacentral:rRNA from 1 species